rnacentral:lncRNA from 1 species
CGUCCAGUUGCAUGAAGGUUUUGAGGGUUUACCAUGUUCACACAUGACAGUAAGUCAUCUUGGGCAGGCGGAAGCAAGGAUUGCAUUUGUGUUGGCACGUUAGCUGUAUCUGCCUGACAGGAAAUCUAAAACUACUUUUACUGCGCCAGUCAGACAUAACAAAAAAACCAUUUUAGUGGGAUGGAAUGACAGUUAUGCCACCCUAACUAGAGGACGCUAACCGGCUAAUAGACGUCGGCCCUAUGGAUUACUAACUCUGCUCAACUGCAUGAGCAGGAGCUGGAGCCGUCUCGUUUGCGCUCUUAUCUGCUUUGCAAUGCAAAUUGCUACAAGCAGAGAAUUGCGGCAGCUGGAGUUGAUGCUUUCCGACAUUGCGGAUCUCUGUGGUGAAGGGGUGCGACCGGCUCUGGCCCGUGAAUGUGAUGCCCGUUUGAUCAGCUUAUGCGAGGUGGAUCUUUGUCUUAUGCCGUUUAGGCUGGUGGCUAACACGCUCACAUAACUGGCAACUAGACAGUGGUCAUUGGCGCAACUUGAGUUGCCGUCUAAAUAAGCCUUGGCCUUGAUGUUAUUAUGCCUUUCAAUGUUUGCGGUGGCAUACGCAAAUGGUAUUCCCCAGCCUUCAUUUAUGGACGCGGAAUGGCUUCCUUAGCCUGCCUUUGUAACUAUUUCCCCAUCCUCCUGCAUGAGCCCUCGUCUACCGGCCCCGGUUAUUUUGAGGACUCCUUUCACAGCUAAUGAGGGUUCUUGGGGUGGGCUUGGGCCUGAGCUCGGUGUAGAUGCUCCAAGGGUGGGCAAACUGGCCCCUUUUCCCCCCAUUGAUUGUACCUCGUAUCAGUCCUCUAGGGGCUAAAGCAUCCCUUAGG